rnacentral:lncRNA from 12 species
AUCUUGUCUGGUGCACACAAUGAUGAUCCCUAAGGAAAACAAUACAAGUGCUUCACUGCCUAUAAGGGAGACCAAGAGAGUACAUAAUGACAUCUUGGCAAAUCAUACCUCAAGGAACAUUUCCCACAAGGUUGUGGUUAUCUGGGUCCACACCCCCCCUUGGUUGUAACGGUGGUGAGCAGACCAUGUUCUGUCAUUAGUAAAAGCUCUUUUUGUGGGAACAGUGGUGUACUUGUGGACAGAAGUUCACGGUGAGUUCUAUUUAUAGCUUCUGAUGACUCAUUAAUAUGUUACCUUAGCAAAGGCUAGCUCCAGAGCCAGGCUUCUAUUACCUCUGAGUCAAAAACAUUCUCACUGGAAUAUUCUGAUGACAUAAAAAGCAAAUUGUCUGUAAAAAGCCCCAAGCAAUUUGCGCGUCAGCCUUUUUAAGUUGGUGUAAUAUUAGCCACACUUACACUCAGUAUUGUAAACUACAGUUGUCAAAGGCACCUGCGUCUCCCAGCGUUUACCAACAUUUAGAUUUUGUGUUAAAGAAAAAAGAAAAAAAGAAUUCACUGGUAAUCUUCUGAGGAGUUAAACCAGAAGUAGAUCUGGAAAAUAUGUUAACCAGUCUUCAAAAGUAUUUCCGUUCCCGGAAGUCUUCACACCCUUUGUGACUAUGCCUUUUGUGACAUUUCCACACAUGUGACCUUCACACUCACCACGUUGAUUCCAACAGACAAGUCGUGGUCAGGGUUUUAUAGAGAUGGUAAGGUAAGACUUUGAAGCUGCUGUACAUCAUCAAUUCAGUCUGAAAAACAAUCUCUGUGGUUAAGCAUGUUAAAUCCCCUUGUGCUUUCACAGCAGCUUGGCUAAAGGUUACUACUAUGAAGGCUCAGAGGGGGAGACCGAGUGCUCUCGCUGAAGCGAAUUCAGAGGAGUUACUCAUCUUGUAUGCAUUUCCGUGGAACCUCAUCAUCAGUUCGGGUGUCUACAACCUUCGUUGUGGAGUGGAUGAACCAGGAAGUGGGAUUUCACCAGACAUCAGAUCUGCCAACACCUUGAUCUUGGACUUUCCAGUCUCCAGAACUAUGAGAAAUGAAUUCCUGUUGUUUAUAAGCCACUGCAUCUAUGGCUUAGCAGCCCAAAGUGACCAAGACAUCAUUCAACAUUGCUCACCAUCUCAGUCUUAG